UACGUAGGUCCCGAGCGUUAUCCGGAUUUAUUGGGCGUAAAGCGAGCGCAGGCGGUUGGAUAAGUCUGAAGUUAAAGGCUGUGGCUCAACCAUAGUAUGCUUUGGAAACUGUUCAACUUGAGUGCAGAAGGGGAGAGUGGAAUUCCAUGUGUAGCGGUGGAAUGCCUAGAUAUAUGGAGGAACACCGGUGGCGAAAGCGGCUCUCUGGUCUGUAACUGACGCUGAGGCUCGAAAGCGUGGGUAGCGAACAGG
rnacentral:rRNA from 1 species